UCGAGGAUCUUCGGCAAUGGGCGCAAGCCUGACCGAGCGACGCCGCGUGUGCGAUGAAGGCCUUCGGGUUGUAAAGCACUGUCGAGGGGGAGGAAAGCCCGCAAGGGUCUGACCUAUCCCUGGAGGAAGCACGGGCUAAGUUCGUGCCAGCAGCCGCGGUAAGACGAACCGUGCAAACGUUGUUCGGAAUCACUGGGCUUAAAGGGCGCGUAGGCGGGUGGUCAAGUCAGGGGUGAAAUCCUCCAGCUCAACUGGAGAACAGCUUUUGAUACUGGCCAUCUUGAGGGGGGUAGGGGCAUGUGGAACUUCCGGUGGAGCGGUGAAAUGCGUAGAUAUCGGAAGGAACGCCGGUGGCGAAAGCGACGUGCUGGACCCUUUCUGACGCUGAGGCGCGAAAGCCAGGGGAGCAAACGGGAUUAGAUACCCCCGUAGUCC
rnacentral:rRNA from 1 species